CUGAAAUGCAAAAUGACACGGAGCUGACUUAGGAAUUCGUUCUUUCUUUGUACCGCUUUCCCUGAUGCGCUUUGCAGGGUUCUCUGGACACGGUGAGGCGAGUGGUACGACAAAGCCAGUGUGGGCCCAUGUUUGGACAAGCGGUGAAAAAUGAGCAGAGUUGUGAUGACCUGUGUGCUUCUUGCAUGACCUGGGACGGUGGCUUUUGUGUUGCCACAAUCAGAGAGGCGAGUGGAGGAGGUGCAUUCCUUGUGCUCUUUGCAAAGAUGGAAAAGUUGAGAUUCAAAAGGGCACACAUCUAAAAAGGAACAUAGCAUAUAGCUGAACCCAGAUGUCUUUGAUACCAAACUCUGAUCACUUCCAGCCCACUCCGCCAUGGCAUU